UUUUUUUCCGGGUUCCAAAUGGAGGAUUCAUCACAACAGUAUCAACAAUGUGACCUCUCCAUCCUAAUUUCCUGACGUCACAUUGAAGAAAAUUUAUGUCCAGCUGCAGAUUUAAUCAUUUAACAAGUCAAAGAUACAUCAAUUAACCAUCAAUAAUGCAGCAUUAGACUAAGAAUGCAUCACAAAUCAUGAAAUCAAUAGCACUUCAGAACCAAAUCUGAUAUCUACACAUACACACAAGCAAAGUGAUCUUUUUCUCCGCAAGAAACCUAAUCCGUGAAAAUAACAUUGCAUAUUAACACAACACAAUCCGUAAUCAUAAUCUAUCAAAACAACAAUCGAUGAGUUUAAGUACCUCAAGUUCCUCUGCAUUUAGUGAUGCUAUCUCAAUAGAUUCAGAAUCGAUAUCAAUGCCAAUCACCUGUCUGUUGCAAAAUCAGUAGACAUAACAAGAAACAAAAGGGAGACCAUUGAGAUUGAUGUUCCAAAAACAACUCAACUUACAGAUGGAACUCAGAAAUAAUUCUAUAUGAAGUCAACUGACCAAAAGCAUCACAAAAUUAAACAACUACACUUAUAGUUAAAAAUGUAGAAACAAAAACAGGGGAGAAUCAAGAUGCAACUCACUCUGCGCCCAGAAGAGCAGCUGCAGCACCCAGUGUGGCACAGCCGCAGCCAAAAUCCGCCACUACCUUGUUGCUCACAUCACCAAAUGAAUUCUCUGCCUGCACAAUUAGAAAUCAGAAUACCCGGAAAAAGCUUACUCGUUUUAAAUAAAUUACCCAAUAUGCUCAUAUUGAAGAUUCCACAGAAAAUGAGAAUACCCAGAAGAGAAUACAAAUGAAUGAGUAAAAAGUGAUUAAAGAAAAGAAGAAUGAAAAACAGAUAACGUUAGUGAAAGGGAAGAAAGUGAUACAGUGUAGAGCAUGCGAGAAGCAAUGUGGGAUCCAGUUGGGUACUGCUCUAGCUCUAUCUUUGGGUUGGAGAACUGCUGAAGAUCACCUAAAAGGCUUUCUAAUUGCUUCAGUUUCAUAUUUCUUUCUUAAUUUCUCUUCUAUUUUGCUUUUCAGAGUCUGAAGGGAAGAGAAGAGAAGAGAUUCAAAGUGCUGGAAUUAGCUUUUUCUUCUUCAGAACCCUAAUCGAAAAGGUCUGGGAAUGAA
rnacentral:misc_RNA from 1 species